rnacentral:rRNA from 1 species
UACAGAGGUCUCAAGCGUUGUUCGGAUUCAUUGGGCGUAAAGGGUGCGUAGGCGGCGCGGUAAGUCGGGUGUGAAAUCUCGGAGCUUAACUCCGAAACUGCAUUCGAUACUGCCGUGCUUGAGGACUGGAGAGGAGACUGGAAUUUACGGUGUAGCGGUGAAAUUCGUAGAUAUUCGGAGGAACACCAGUGGCGAAGGCGGCUCACUGGCUCGACACUGACGCUGAGGUGCGAAAGCGUGGGGAGCAAACAGG